UUCACGAGAGUUUGAUCCUGGCUCAGGAUGAACGCUGGCGGCGUGUCUAAGGCAUGCAAGUCGAACGGCUUGUGCGGAGCACAAGCCCACUAAUUAACGCUAAUGUUGUGGCACUUCGUGCUAGCACUAAUUAACACUAAAUUCGUGUUGAUUUAGUGUAGUGAGCGAAGCGAACAUUUGGUGUCUUUUAGUGGUCUCGCGCUCCGCGCGAGCAGUGGCAAACGGGUGCGUAACACAUUGGUAACCUACCCCUCAUAGGAGAAUAACCCCGCGAAAGCGGGACUAAUACUCCGUAUAAUCCCGACUCAUAUGGGUUGGAAUGAGAGACGCAAGUCGAUGAGGGAGGGGCCUAUGCCCUAUCAGCUAGUUGGUGAGGUAAUGGCUCACCAAGGCUCUGACGGGUAGGGGGCGUGAGAGCGCGACCCCCCUCACUGGGACUGAGACACUGCCCAGACUCCUACGGGAGGCUGCAGUCGAGAAUAUUCCUCAAUGGCCGAAAGGCUGAAGGAGCGACGCCGCGUGCAGGAAGACGGCCUUC
rnacentral:rRNA from 1 species